GACGAACGCUGGCGGCGUGCUUAACACAUGCAAGUCGAACGAAAAGGCCCGGCCUUUCUGGUGUGCUCGAGUGGCGAACGGGUGAGUAACACGUGAGCAACCUUCCCUUGACUCUGGGAUAACUUCGGGAAACUGGGGCUAAUACCGGAUAUGAGCUCCUGCGGCAUGGUGAUGGUUGGGAAAUAUCUGCGGUUGGGGAUGGACUCGCGGCUUAUCAGCUUGUUGGUGGGGUAGCGGCUUACCAAGGCGUCGACGGGUAGCCGGCCUGAGAGGGUGACCGGCCACAUUGGGACUGAGAUACGGCCCAGACUCCUACGGGAGGCAGCAGUGGGGAAUAUUGCACAAUGGGCGGAAGCCUGAUGCAGCAACGCCGCGUGAGGGAUGACGGCCUUCGGGUUGUAAACCUCUUUUGCCUGUGAAGAAGCGAAAGUGACGGUAAUGGGUAAAGAAGCACCGGCUAACUACGUG
rnacentral:rRNA from 1 species